rnacentral:rRNA from 1 species
UACGGGGGGAGCAAGCGUUGUUCGGAUUUACUGGGCGUAAAGGGCGCGUAGGCGGCCUCCGCAAGUCAGUUGUGGAAUCUCCGAGCUUAACUCGGAAAGGUCAACUGAUACUGCGGGGCUAGAGUGCGGAAGGGGCAACUGGAAUUCUUGGUGUAGCGGUGAAAUGCGUAGAUAUCAAGAGGAACACCUGCGGCGAAGGCGGGUCUCUGGGCCGAUACUGACGCUGAGGAGCGAAAGCGUGGGGAGCGAACAGG